rnacentral:rRNA from 1 species
UACGUAGGGUGCGAGCGUUGUCCGGAAUUAUUGGGCGUAAAGAGCUCGUAGGCGGUGUGUCACGUCGGCCGUGAAAACCUGCAGCUUAACUGUGGGCGUGCGGUCGAUACGGGCAUCACUGGAGUUCGGCAGGGGAGACUGGAAUUCCUGGUGUAGCGGUGGAAUGCGCAGAUAUCAGGGGGAACACCGGUGGCGAAGGCGGGUCUCUGGGCAGUAACUGACGCUGAGGAGCGAAAGCGUGGGGAGCGAACAGG